GUUAGGACAGGAAGAGAACCCAGAGCUUCCAGUCCCUGGAUCCUAGAGAGCAAUACAGCCUCUUCCCUUUCCUCAUCGUAGCUACCCAGUGAAUAAAUCCCUCGUUCUACCUCAUUCAGAUCAACUUCAGUGCCUGUUGUUUGCAACCCACAGUGUCCCAAUUCAGGACUUGGGAACUGUUUUCCUUUUCAUGGAUUGUGUAGAACUGAAAGGGAUACGUCAUUCUCAGAACUUAUAUUCUUGUUCCGAUGUGCCAGCUGUACUUAAAAAUAAAAGAAUCCCAGACCCAUCUCCAUGUUCACCACCACCCCUCCUGUUAAUUUCCUGCUGAAUUGCAGCUCAACGCAUGUGCUGGGAUUUCAAGUCCUGCCCUAAUCAAUUUACUACCACCUCCCCAACCUUAACCCCAACCUACACGCACCUUCCUACGCUGGCCUGUGCGUGCAGCCUGCCCUGGCCUCUACUGUGACGCCUACCACGUUAUAUUUGUAAUGAUUUGUUUAUGACUGUCCCCAUACUAGGGAAGGCAUCGAGCUUGAGGAAGAGGCCCCAUUCAUCUCCGUACCCCAGGCCCUGGUACACAGCAGGCAGGUAGCAAGUAUGGGAGGGAGGUGGGGGAGGAAGAAGGGGGAAAAAAGGGAGUUCCUUCCUAUUUUCUCUCUAGUCCAACCAAUGUGUCACUCAUAGGCUCAAGUUCUGUAUUCGUUCCCUAUACCUGUCUACCUGUUUUCCUUUUUCCCUUUUUUUUUUUUUAAUGGAGUUUCGCUCUUGUUGUCCAGGCUGGAGUGCAAUGGCGCGUUCUCAGCUCACUGCAACCUCCGCCUCCUGGGUUCAUGCAAUUCUCCUGCCUCAGCCUCCCCAGUAGCUGGGAUUACAGGCGUG
rnacentral:lncRNA from 1 species